CAAAAUUACAAUCAAUAUUCCAAAAUUCAACAAAGUAACAUCAUGUGAACCUUGCUUAGACUUUAUUCACGUCCAAAACUACAAUCAAUCAUGAUUUUCAUCCGUAUUUUUGGAAGAAAAAAAAUUCAUAAAUCUUCAAUUAAACAAAUACAAAGCAAACUUCAUAACUCAUAUCAUAAGUGAUUGUGUUUAUAAAUGGAGAGAAGAAGUUUCAAACUAAGAAUCACGGGCCAGGUGACUAAUUUGUGUACUUCAAGUGUGGGGUUUCUGCUGCACCUGCUGAUAUAAGUUACUCCAUGGAAUCAAGGUGGAGAGAUAUCAAAAUAUAUAAAAGCUAACCGCAUUGCUGCUGCGCUUGACCACAUCACUGCCACAACAAACAAAUUUAAUACUAUGGGUUUUAUAUAGAAAUAGGAUAACAUUGUGAAUUUGUGUAAUAUGCUACAUAUUAGAUCUCUCAAUUAUGGUUUGAAUACAAUCAUAUACAGGAGUAAUCAGAGACUAAUUAUGAGCUACUGGCAUGCUCAUAACCUAACAAUCAUAGCUAGUGAGCCCCUGGUUAUUUAUAAAUAACUAUAUAAAUUCUAACAUGAAUGUUUCACUUAAUAACUUUAAACCAAAAGUUUUCAUUUCAACAACCAAACAUCAAAGAAGAAUGAAUGAUUCAAAGAUGAACUAGAAACCAAUCAAUUUUACUAAGUUUUCAUUUCAACAACCAAACAUCAAAGAAGAAUGAAUGAUUCAAAGAUGAACUAGAAACCAAUCAAUUUUACAUUUGUACCAAAAACACAAAAAUACACUUGUACCAAAAAGAAACAAAAAAAAGCAAACACUAAAUUUCAAACACAAAAAUACACUAAUUUUCCCACAAUGUAGUAGCAUUUUGUCUUCCUCAACAUUAACGUUGAUUGAAAUAGUUUUUAAACCCUGGAAACAGGUUACCAAUUGUACUACUUACCACUGUCCACAAUUCCUUUGUAAUUUAUGUCACAUGGGCAAAGCUCAUGACAUGGGAUUUAAUAUCAUGUCUUGUACAUGUGAUGAACUUUAUUAAAUUUUUCUGACACACUCCUUGACAUGAAAAUCUCAUUGGCUUCAACUAGUGUCUAUAACUAUUGUUCAUUAAUUUAUCUAAAUGUUUUUAUUCACCUACUAUCUAUAACUAUGUUCAUAAAUUUAUCUAAAUGUUUUUAGUGGCAUAUUCCUCCCAGUUUGAAGUUUGAAUUGGUUUAUUUGGUAGACUUUUAGUGUCUAUUGUCAAGAUUUUUACACCUAGUUCGUCAUUCACUAUGGCAGCCUCGGUGGCACAGUGCUUAUACAGACAUUGUCCAACCGGGAACUAACUAGUCCGAUGAAUUUUUUUUAUAACUAUGUUCAUAUGCACUUGUUAGUUUAUAUUUUUACAUGGAGAAAAAUGGUUAGGAUAUGGUAAUGUUAUAUAAAAAAAUGGUUUAAUAUAGUUACUCAUCAAAAGAACACUUUAAGUUUGUAAGAGACAAAAAUUACCAAAAAACUACUGUGUGAGGAUGGACUUAGUAUGAGUUCAGCAAGAACAUCAAACCUAAACUUAGCUGAAGUAAUUGUUUUGAAGAGUUUCAAUAUAAAAUAGAAAGAUUUUGUUUUACCAUUGGCCAUUUUGUAAGGGUUCUGUGUCAAUAUUAAGAAGUCAUUAGUUUAGCUUUAUAAGAGCUGAAGCACAAACAGAGUUAAAGAGUUCAUACAAGUAAGAUAUUACAUUUAUGAACAUAGAUUACACAAAUAAACUCAACAACAACCACGCCUUUAAAUUACCAAAGCAACAUUAACUCACUUUAUACGGCGUUGCUUAUUCUUAACAUCAUCAAAAAACUUAUGGACAUCUGCAACAGUAAUUGGCUUGGAGGAGUCUGCAGAUUCGUGUCAUGAAACAUGACAACAACAAAUUAAAAUGAUUAAAUAAAGAUGUGAUUAAUGCACUCAUAAUCAAUAUUUCAACGUGUCUCUUUAAGGAUGAUGGAUAUUACACUAACUGUAACACCGCUUUUAAGUUCAAAGAUAGCAUCCAAUACCUCAAGUGCCCAUUUUGGGGAGAAAAUAGAGAAAUGUAUUGUGGCAGUGUUGCUAAUCCUAACAUGAAACUCACGUGGGAAGAUAAAGUUCCAAAGAUCACAAUCAAUAGUAGAUUCAUAAACUAGAGUAAACUAACCCAUUUUAAAAGAGAAUAACAAUACUGGAUGAAAUUUAAAGGAGAUAUUAUAAGAAACUUAAAGGAAACUCUUACCUGGGCAACGAAUCGAUGAAUCAUAAAAGCUUGAAGUGAAAAAUCAUUUAUAUUAGAGUUUUCAUUCACAACGUGCUAUGACCCUUGUAGCUCUUAGGGGAAUCAAUGUCGUCGUCGAGAGACUUACUUCAAAGCUUUGAUUGAGAUGAUUCCUUGAAACCCUAAAAUCCUAAUUCCGAGUUGCAACUUGAAGGGUUUGAGAAGAAGGAGAAGGGAACAAAGGGUUAGGGUUGCGAUUUGGUAGAAGAUACACUGGACAAUCUUUGUUUCAGCUUCUGAAAAAUCAUACGAUGGAGGUUUUGAUGAGUUUGGGAGGGAAGAAUUUUCACAUUUAGGGCUUUGAUUUUUCACUUGAUAUUUGUUUCAGCACCGAACCGAAGUAAUUUUCUUUUACGCUGAUGAAAGGGAACGGCUGAAACGUAAUUACUUUUUUACGCUGAAGAAAAUGGAACUACUGAUAUUGUUUUAACGUGAGGUCUCAGUUCGAUUCCAAC
rnacentral:lncRNA from 1 species